UCGGGUGGGGAUUAGUGGCGAACGGGUGAGUAACACGUGGGCAAUCUGCCCUUCACUCUGGGACAAGCCCUGGAAACGGGGUCUAAUACCGGAUACUGACCUGCCAAGGCAUCUUGGCGGGUCGAAAGCUCCGGCGGUGAAGGAUGAGCCCGCGGCCUAUCAGCUUGUUGGUGAGGUAAUGGCUCACCAAGGCGACGACGGGUAGCCGGCCUGAGAGGGCGACCGGCCACACUGGGACUGAGACACGGCCCAGACUCCUACGGGAGGCAGCAGUGGGGAAUAUUGCACAAUGGGCGAAAGCCUGAUGCAGCGACGCCGCGUGAGGGAUGACGGCCUUCGGGUUGUAAACCUCUUUCAGCAGGGAAGAAGCGAAAGUGACGGUACCUGCAGAAGAAGCGCCGGCUAACUACGUGCCAGCAGCCGCGGUAAUACGUAGGGCGCAAGCGUUGUCCGGAAUUAUUGGGCGUAAAGAGCUCGUAGGCGGCUUGUCACGUCGGUUGUGAAAGCCCGGGGCUUAACCCCGGGUCUGCAGUCGAUACGGGCAGGCUAGAGUUCGGUAGGGGAGAUCGGAAUUCCUGGUGUAGCGGUGAAAUGCGCAGAUAUCAGGAGGAACACCGGUGGCGAAGGCGGAUCUCUGGGCCGAUACUGACGCUGAGGAGCGAAAGCGUGGGGAGCGAACAGGAUUAGAUACCCUGGUAGUCCACGCCGUAAACGGUGGGCACUAGGUGUGGGCAACAUUCCACGUUGUCCGUGCCGCAGCUAACGCAUUAAGUGCCCCGCCUGGGGAGUACGGCCGCAAGGCUAAAACUCAAAGGAAUUGACGGGGGCC
rnacentral:rRNA from 1 species